rnacentral:rRNA from 1 species
CGCUGGCGGCGUGCCUAAUGCAUGCAAGUCGAGCGGGCUACGAUCUUCGGAUUGUAGCUUAGCGGCGAACGGGUGAGUAACACGUAGGUGAUCUACCCUUCAGAGGAGGACAACCUCAGGAAACUGAGGCUAAACCUUCAUACGUUCACUGGUAGGGAUACUGGUGAAGAAAGAGUUACCUUAGUGGUAGCUGCUGAAGGAUGAGCCUGCGGCCCAUCAGGUAGUUGGUGAGGUAACGGCUCACCAAGCCGAAGACGGGUAACCGGUCUGAGAGGAUGUCCGGUCACACUGGGACUGAGACACGGCCCAGA